UGGCUUAUGAUGAAACGUCACUAUCUUAGCGGAUUCCAGUGAGAAUACAUGUCAAUGAUCUGAUUGUUACACACACUGAAGCCU
rnacentral:snoRNA from 1 species